rnacentral:tRNA from 1 species
GGUGACUCAGUGGUAGAGUGCUUGCCUUGCAUGCAUGAGGCACUGGGUUCGAUUCCUCAGCACCA